GAUGAACGCUGGCGGCGUGCCUAAUACAUGCAAGUCGAACGCUUCACUUCGGUGAAGAGUGGCGAACGGGUGAGUAAUACAUAAGUAACCUGGCAUCUACAGGGGGAUAACUGAUGGAAACGUCAGAUAAGACCGCAUAGGUGUAGAGAUCGCAUGAACUCUGUAUGAAUAGUGCUACGGGAGUGGUAGAGGAUGGGCUUAUGGGGCAGUAGCUUGUUGGUAGGGUAACGGCCUACGAAGGCGACGAUGUGUAGCCGACCUGAGAGGGGGAACGGCCACACAGGGAGUGAGACACGACCCAGACACCUACGAGAGGCCGCAGUAGCGAAUGGGCGGCAAUGGGGGAAACACUGACCGAGCGGCGCAGCGUUAAGGAAGAAGUAAUUCGUUAGGUAAACUUCUGUCAUAGAGGAAGAACGGUGGAUAUAGGGAAUGAGAGCCAAGUGAGGGUACUCUAGAAGAAGGCCACGGCAAACUACGG
rnacentral:rRNA from 1 species